rnacentral:tRNA from 1 species
GGGAGUAUGGUGAAAUUGGUAGACACAAGGGAUUUAAAAUCCCUCGCUUUAUUGCGUGUCGGUUCGAGUCCGACUAUUCCCA